rnacentral:rRNA from 1 species
CGACCGCUAUCGGGGUAGGGCUAAGCCAUGCGAGUCGCGCGCCCGGGGGCGCCCGGGAGCGGCGCACGGCUCAGUAACACGUGCCCAACCUACCCUCGGGAGGGGGACACCCCCGGGAAACUGGGGCCAAUCCCCCAUAGGGGAAGGGCGCUGGAAGGCCCCCUCCCCGAAAGGACGGCGGCCGAUCCGCCGCCGCCCGCCCGAGGAUGGGGGCACGGCCCAUCAGGUAGUUGGCGGGUUAAAGGCCCGCCAAGCCGAAGACGGGUAGGGGCGGUGAGAGCCGCGAGCCCCGAGAUCGGCACUGAGACAAGGGCCGAGGCCCUACGGGGUGCAGCAGGCGCGAAUACUCCGCAAUGCGGGCAACCGCGACGGGGCUACCCCGAGUGCCGGGCGAAGAGCCCGGCUUUUGCCCGGUCUAAAACGCCGGGAGAAUAAGCGGGGGGCAAGUCUGGUGUCAGCCGCCGCGGUAAUACCAGCUCCGCGAGUGGUCGGGGUGUUUACUGGGCUUAAAGCGCCCGUAGCCGGCCCGGCAAGUCGCUCCUGAAAUCCCAGGGCUCAACCCUGGGGCAGGGGGCGAUACUGCCGGGCUAGGGGGCGGAAGAGGCCGCCGGUACUCCGGGGGUAGGGGCGAAAUCCGAUAAUCCCUGGGGGACCACCAGUGGCGAAAGCGCCCGGCUGGAACGCGCCCGACGGUGAGGGGCGAAAGCCGGGGGAGCGAACCGGAUUAGAUACCCGGGUAGUCCCGGCUGUAAACGAUGCGGGCUAGGUGUCGGGCGGGCGUUGGAGCCCGCCCGGUGCCGCAGGGAAGCCGUUAAGCCCGCCGCCUGGGGAGUACGGCCGCAAGGCUGAAACUUUAAGGAAUUGGCGGGGGGGCACACAAGGGGUGGAGCCUGCGGCUCAAUUGGAGUCAACGCCGGGAACCUCACCGGGGGCGACAGCAGGAUGACGGCCAGGCUAAUGACCUUGCCUGACGCGCUGAGGGGAGGUGCAUGGCCGUCGUCAGCUCGUGCUGUGAAGUGUCCUGUUAAGUCAGGCAACGAGCGAGACCCCCGCCCCUAGUUGCGACCCUGCGGGCGACCGUGGGAGCACACUAGGGGGACUGCCGCCGCUAAGGCGGAGGAAGGAGGGGGCCACGGCAGGUCAGCAUGCCCCUAAACCCCCGGGCUGCACGCGGGCUACAAUGGCGGGGACAGCGGGAUCCGACCCCGAAAGGGGGAGGCAAUCCCUGAAACCCCGCCGUAGUCGGGAUUGGGGGCUGAAACUCGCCCCCAUGAACCUGGAAUCCCUAGUAACCGCGCGUCAACAUCGCGCGGUGAAUACGUCCCUGCCCCUU